CCUUACCUAGACUUGACAUCUCCUGAAUUACUCUGUAAUGGAGGAAGCCCUUCGGGGCAGGAAGACAGGUGGUGCAUGGUUGUCGUCAGCUCGUGUCGUGAGAUGUUGGGUUAAGUCCCGCAACGAGCGCAACCCUUAUUGUUAGUUGCUACCAUUAAGUUGAGCACUCUAGCGAGACUGCCCGGGUUAACCGGGAGGAAGGUGGGGAUGACGUCAAAUCAUCAUGCCCCUUAUGUCUAGGGCUACACACGUGCUACAAUGGCUGGUACAGAGAGAUGCUAAACCGUGAGGUGGAGCCAAACUUUAAAACCAGUCUCAGUUCGGAUUGUAGGCUGAAACUCGCCUACAUGGAAGCUGGGAGUUGCUAGUAAUCGCGAAUCAGAAGUCGCGGAGAGCGACA
rnacentral:rRNA from 1 species